rnacentral:rRNA from 1 species
UGGGGAAUAUUGCACAAUGGGCGCAAGCCUGAUGCAGCCAUGCCGCGUGUGUGAAGAAGGCCUUCGGGUUGUAAAGCACUUUCAGCGGGGAGGAAGGCGAUAAGGUUAAUAACCUCAUCGAUUGACGUUACCCGCAGAAGAAGCACCGGCUAACUCCGUGCCAGCAGCCGCGGUAAUACGGAGGGUGCAAGCGUUAAUCGGAAUUACUGGGCGUAAAGCGCACGCAGGCGGUCUGUCAAGUCGGAUGUGAAAUCCCCGGGCUCAACCUGGGAACUGCAUUCGAAACUUGCAGGCUAGAGUCUUGUAGAGGGGGGUAGAAUUCCAGGUGUAGCGGUGAAAUGCGUAGAGAUCUGGAGGAAUACCGGUGGCGAAGGCGGCCCCCUGGACGAAGACUGACGCUCAGGUGCGAAAGCGUGGGGAGCAAACAGG